GUGGCGAACGGGUGAGUAACACGUGAGCAACCUGCCCCUGACUCUGGGAUAAGCGCUGGAAACGGCGUCUAAUACUGGAUAUGUGACGUGACCGCAUGGUCUGCGUCUGGAAAGAAUUUCGGUUGGGGAUGGGCUCGCGGCCUAUCAGCUUGUUGGUGAGGUAAUGGCUCACCAAGGCGUCGACGGGUAGCCGGCCUGAGAGGGUGACCGGCCACACUGGGACUGAGACACGGCCCAGACUCCUACGGGAGGCAGCAGUGGGGAAUAUUGCACAAUGGGCGGAAGCCUGAUGCAGCAACGCCGCGUGAGGGAUGACGGCCUUCGGGUUGUAAACCUCUUUUAGCAGGGAAGAAGCGAAAGUGACGGUACCUGCAGAAAAAGCGCCGGCUAACUACGUGCCAGCAGCCGCGGUAAUACGUAGGGCGCAAGCGUUAUCCGGAAUUAUUGGGCGUAAAGAGCUCGUAGGCGGUUUGUCGCGUCUGCUGUGAAAUCCGGAGGCUCAACCUCCGGCCUGCAGUGGGUACGGGCAGACUAGAGUGCGGUAGGGGAGAUUGGAAUUCCUGGUGUAGCGGUGGAAUGCGCAGAUAUCAGGAGGAACACCGAUGGCGAAGGCAGAUCUCUGGGCCGUAACUGACGCUGAG
rnacentral:rRNA from 1 species